rnacentral:lncRNA from 1 species
UGAAAACAGUACGCAGUCAGCCGUUCAGCUGGGAAGAGCAUGUCUUCUCCCUCUCGGCAUGCUGGCUUGGUCAUGUUGGUCUCACUAUAGAGAUGGUACGAAACAAAGGGCCAGCAAGGACAGUACAUUUUGAGUUUGAGGCAAAGAGAAAGCCGUUAUUGCAGUUUGUGACCUGUCACACGGGCACCUUAACCAGUGACUGUCUGGGGUUUGUUGGGUCCAUGCAACGCCUUGGUAUUCCUUGGUCGGGGUUCAUUGCUGACGACAGCCCCUUCUUCAUCGACGACAUGCUCCAUCUGCGAGUUAAGCUCAAGAUAAUGCAGGAGCCCCAGUGAUGCAUGCGUCAACUGCUAGCUUGAUGGGCCUCGCCCGAGUCCCUUUUUGCUCUUUGUGAGCGAGGAGGAGACAUGAAGAAACCUGAACUUUAUGCUGGAGACUUCACCAUCUCACAUACUCUUACCAGUAUCGAAACCGUUAUCUCUGCAUGUGUGUGCUCUGCUAUACACCGAAGGUGCUGACCAGUUAAUGCUCUCUUUGUUGUAAGUUGCUAAUAUAUGUGUGGCUAAGGAGCUGACUGAUUUGAUGUAGUGGUAUCCUUGGAAUUUAUAUUAUGUGAUAAUCUGUUGCUGGUGGACAUUUUAGUACAUACUUCCUAGCAGUGGAACAGGAACGUUGGCAACUAGAUGAUAUGUUGCGCGUUGCUGUGACAAUUUUGUUAAAAAAAUGCAUGAUUUUGUGCUACACAAACAACUAAAACUAAUGAAAAGAAAAUACAAGAGUAUUUUCGAUUUACACUUCAAAAAUAUUUAACAACAUAUGAAGCAUAUAAAAUGUAUAAAAGAGGGGAGGACUAUAGUGAGAGACAAGCAGGACUAGACUCCUUCGGCUCUCGCGACCGCAUCACCCCCGCAGGCGUCCGGACGCGCCUCUACCCCCCUUUCCCAGAGGCCCUCCUCCACCCCCUUCCCUUCCCCCUUCCGCCAUCGUCAGCGUGCACGGCGAGCCUGUCCCGGGUGGCGCCGGGGCCGGCAGCCCCUGCUUUUCCCCUCCCGAAGGCACCCCUGCAUUGGGCGGUGCGUCUCCUGGUGGUGCGCUCAGGCGGCGCGGGUCCGGCAGGGCAUCUUGGCAUGGACAAGGGAGGUCGUUGUGCGGCGGCGCCCGCUCGGCCCAGAUCUGGGCCCCAUUUGGGCCUGGGCAGAUCGGCAGAUCCUAUGUUGACGUCGAAGCCCCUGGAGGUGGAUAUGGCGAGUAUGGAGUAUGGGUGCGUUGUUGCAGCGUGAUGAAGGAGGCUUUGGGGGCAAGAUUUGGGAUGGGUCGGGCUCGGGAGGCCUGGUGUGCCUUUGCUGCCACGUCCAGUCGGCUACCGCGACGGCGCUGGAGGCAGUGACCUCCUACUCGACGGUAGUGGAGGUAGUUCCCUCCCGCGCGGCCUCGGUGUUGUCGUCCCCGAUUACUUGCGAUCCCUUUUUUUUCUUCUAGGCCUCAUGAUGGUGACCUCAGUGAGACCGUGAGAGUGGAGUCAAGACCAUGGUGGCGCAUGUUGAUGGGCUGCAAGUUGGAUGCAAGAGGAUCGGGGUGGGUAGUGGUGUUUUUGGGUUGGGAGAAAUCCAUGCCGGCUCGCGGUGCCGCCAUUCCUUCCUGAAGGACAGCGGAUGUACCCAUUCCCCAUGUUCCCCCGCGUGCCAGGGGAAACCCUAGGACAUGUCAGGCUUGGGCAGUGAUCGGGACAUAGCAGGUAACAAGUUUGGCUCUGAUUGCGGGCAGCGAACACCCGCCAGGGCUGACACGGUUCCUCUCGGCAAGGGUGAUUCCUCUGAACUAGGAAUGCAUUGGGCCUCUAAGUACAAGGGUUUGGUGCCCUCAAGUGGAUGACAUUAAGCUUUGUCGAACUAGUAGGAGAAUAGCCAAUUGUCAGUACCUGUACACAUAAGUACUAAAACCCCUUGGCCCCUAACGAAACCAGUGAUGUUGUCAAUCUCACUAGCUUUGCUAGUUACAAGGAUUAAUUGCAUAAGUGUAUGAAAGAUUUCAUUUCAGCAAGGAAGUAAAUAAAAACAAUGAAUUGUUAAAGAGAGCGUUGAUCGAGGUUCAAAUAAUAGGAAGAAGAAUGUACUCUGAUUCAUAGGUUCACUAGUGGUUUCUCUACAGAGAAUGUACGCGUAAUCAACUAUGGGUGUCACGUUCCAAAAAUAUAUAGACUGUUAUUCAACUGCAUCUAUAGCUAAUACUCCACCCAAGACUGUUAUCCAGCCUGCAUCUUAAUGUAUUACAUAAAAACAGAAUAUUGCCUUAAGUACGAUGACAUGAAGUAGAUGAUAUUUUUUCUUCACCCUGUUUUCAAAGGACAACUACGCAAUCAUCUUUUUAUCCCUAAUGGGAACAACACAAUACAAGUCUUUUCCACUUCCUGUCACUAGGUAGAUUAUUUACAAGAUUUAACCCAACUAUCAUUCACAACCCCCUCUUGAAUAUCACUCAUCAAACUUGGCCACAUAAAUACAAAUAGAUCGGAGAGCAUAUAUGAAUAAGAGUUAUGCAACAAAAAAACCAAAUAUACCUCAAAAAGAUUCAUGGAUAAAUCUGAUUCUGAUCACAAAGUUACAACUCAUCAUGCCGCAACAAACACGCAAAUAUAUUACAUUAGAUGGGUCACAAUCUUGUAGGGAAGCUCAUGUGAUCUUUUCAUUGAUAAACAUGUGAGACAAAACUGUUGGGGAACGUAGCAGAAAUUCAAAAUUUUCCUACGUAUAACCAAGAUCUAUCUAUGGAGAAACCAGCAACGAGGGGAAGGAGAGUGCAUCUACAUACCCUUGUAGAUCGCUAAGCGGAAGCGUUCAAGAGAACGGGGUUGAAGGAGUCGUACUCGUCGUGAUCCAAAUCACCGGAGAUCCUAGUGCCGGACGGACGGCACCUCCGCGUUCAACACACGUACAGCCCCGGUGACGUCUCCCACGCCUUGAUCCAGCAAGGAGAGAGGGAGAGGUUGAGGAAGACUCCAUCCAGCAGCAGCACAACAGCGUGGUGGUGGUGGAGGAGCGUGGCAAUCCUGCAGGGCUUCGCCAAGCACCUGCGGGAGAGGAGGAGGUAUCACGGGAGGGAGGGAGGCGCCAGGGCUUCAGGUACGACCACCCCUCCCUCCCCUCCCUUUAUAUAGGGGCAAGGGAGAGGGGGAAGGCGCAACCUUGCCCCUUCCUCCAAGGAAGGGGUGCGGCCAAGGGGGGGGGAGGAGUCCAUCCUCCCCAAGGCACCUCGGAGGUGCCUUCCCCUUUGAGGACUCUCCCCUUUUUCUUAUAUCUUGGCGCAUGGGCCUCUUGGGGCUGGUGCCCUUGGCCCAUAUUGGCCAAGGCGCACCCCCUACAGCACAUGUGCCCCCCCCCCCCGGGGCAGGUGGACCCCCGGACCCCUUUCGGCACUCCCGGUACAAUACCGAUAAAGUGCGAAACUUUUCCGGCGACCAAAAUAAGACUUCCCAUAUAUAAAUCUUUACCUCCGGACCAUUCCGGAACUCCUCAUGACGUCCGGGAUCUCAUCCGGGAUUCCGACAACAUUCGGUAACCACAUACAAACUUCCUUUAUAACCCUAGCGUCACCGAACCUUAAGUGUGUAGACCCUACGGGUUCGGGAGACAUGUAGACAUGACCGAGACGUUCUCCGGUCAAUAACCAACAGCGGGAUCUGAAUACCCAUGUUGGUUCCCACAUGUUCCACGAUGAUCUCAUCGGAUGAACCACUAUGUCAAGGACUCAAUCAAUCCCGUAUACAAUUCCCUUUGUCUAGCGGUAUGGUACUUGCCCGAGAUUCGAUCGUCGGUAUACCGAUACCUUGUUCAAUCUCGUUACCGGGAAGUCUCUUUACUCGUUCCGUAACACAUCAUCCCGUGAUCAACCCCUUGGUCACAUUGUGCACAUUAUGAUGAUGUCCUACCGAGUGGGCCCAGAGAUACCUCUCCGUUUACACGGAGUGACAAAUCCCAGUCUCGAUUCGUGCCAACCCAACAGACACUUUCGGAGAUACCUGUAGUGCACCUUUAUAGCCACCCAGUUACGUUGUGACGUUUGGUACACCCAAAGCAUUCCUACGGUAUCCGGGAGUUGCACAAUCUCAUGGUCUAAGGAAAAGAUACUUGACAUUAGAAAAGCUUUAGCAUACGAACUACGAUCUUUGUGCUAGGCUUAGGAUUGGGUCUUGUCCAUCACAUCAUUCUCCUAAUGAUGUGAUCCCGUUAUCAAUGACAUCCAAUGUCCAUGGUUAGGAAACCGUAACUAUCUAUUGAUCAACGAGCUAGUCAACUAGAGGCUUACUAGGGACAUGGUGUUGUCUAUGUACCCACACAUGUAUCUGAGUUCCUUUCAAUACAAUUAUAGCAUGGAUAAUAAACUAAUAUCAUGAACAAGGAAAUAUAAUAAUAACUAAUUAUUAUUGCCUCUAGGGCAUAUUUCCAACAAAAACAAACUAGCCACUGCUAUGGAUCCAUAAUCCAAAGGAAACUACUCACAGGAUAUCAUGCUGACUUCAAAUUGAUGGAAAUGGCCACCGUGAUGGUUUUUCCUCUGGCAGUGUACCGAUGAAAAAUAUUUUCUUGAUUUUUCGUGGUCUUUUGGAGCUCUGUAGAAUUUAUUUUCCUCUGAGUCAAAAAACAUGCAUAAACAACAAUUGGCAUUGCACAAUGAGUUAAUAGGUUAGUCUAGAAAAAUGAUAAAAUUGGUGCGGAAACUAUGCCAAAAUUAUAUAAACAUAGCAUGAAACAAUAAACAAUUAAAGAUACAUUUGAGACAUAUUAACAUCCCAAGCUUAAUUCCUAUUCGUUCUCAAGUGUGUAGAUGAUAAUAAAAUUUUAACUGUAAAUGACACUAACAUGAAUUAUAAUCAAUAUUGUGUAGUUAGGUACGACUUUAAAGAAUAGCGUGCAAUGCAAUAGUCUAUAGUUGAUACAAAACAAGUAACAUUAGAAUGUGCAAAUAAAACUAUUUAUACGUUUGAUAGAGCAAUGCUUUCACGUCAUACUCACCAACACUAUAAGAUUUAGAAAGAAUGUCAGGUGUAUCAUGAGGCUUGAUACGGAAAGGUUUUAUCAUAUCAAAACAUCUUAUCAUAACUCGACCCAGAGUGUCAGCCACAUAAGUUGACCACGUGAUCCUCCCAUUUCAAUCAAUCGAUACUCCUGCAAUACUUUAGCACGGGACUUAAUCUUUGCACUUGAUGAAAAAGGAGAAUAAUGAUGGGGGUUUAUAAGAAGACAAAAAUGAACGGAAGUCUUGCAUCAAUGUGGCUGAUCAUUAGGCAAUGAAGAGGCCUUAUAAUCGUUGUUAAUGUAAAGAGUAGGGAUUGCCAUGCAAUGAAUGCACUAGAACUAUAGGUGUAUGAAAGCUUUUCAAAUGGACUAGUGGGGUGUGCAUCAAAAUUGCUUGCUAACAAAGACUUGAAGCAUUGGAUGAAGCUCAUCUUAGGAAUAUAGAAGCCAAGUUUUUUAAUGUGAAAUUCCCAACUAGCACAUGAACACUAAGCAUAUGAAAACUCUCUAUAUGAAAUGCAGUAGUGCUACUUUGAAGCACUUUAUGGUAUCUGCUAAAACCAGGUGCUACUUCGAAGCACAAGUGUAUACUGAAAAGGAAUAACAAUGUUGCUUCCUCUCUCUCUCUCUCUCUCUCUCUCUCUCUCUCUCUCUCUCUUUCUCUCUUUGGCACUUUUUCUUUUUUUUGGCACCUCCAUGGUGCAAUCCUCACUAAUAGGAGGAACACUCUAUGAUGAUACAAUACACUUCGAAAUUACUUAAAACUCAAUAAAUCAAAAUGAUAAACAUGAUAUAUAACUCUAAAUGAAUGACUCCGGCAGUGUACCAGUAUGUGCCAUCUAGCAUAACAAACAUAUCAAAAUGGAUGGUGUAAAUAUCAUGCUAGCUAUCUUUUGAUCAUGCAAGGCUAUACGACGAUAACUAUCUCUAGUCAUGUAAUGAAUGAUGAUGGAUGGAAAUUGCAUGGCAGUAUAUCUUGGAAUCGCUAUAGAAAUGCUAUGAUAGGUAGGUAUGGUGGCUAGUUUGAAGAAGAUAGAUGGUUUAUGUGUAGGAGAACAAGAGGAAGUCAUCCCACGAGGUUUGGGUGCAUCGACGAAGGAUGCACGAAGUCACAAGGUGAGAGUGGGAAAUGCUCAAUACCAAAGAGGGUAGGAAAUAUGGAUAGGUGGAAGUGCAUGUAAGAUCGCAAACUCGCAUUAGUCACAAAGAAAUCAAGCACUAAUCAUAAGAAUAUCAUCAUCCAGUCAAUAAUUCACACAAAACCCAUGUACUUUAAUGGAAGUAUUUGGCGGUACCGAAGGCCGUUAUGCAUCCCGACCCGUCCUACGUGAGUGGUUACUUACGAUGUUUCUCAACUUAUUCCUCUUUGCAACAUCGGUCUCACUUCUAUGUAAAUUACUAAAGAAAGAGCAUUGACUCACAUGAUGUAUAUGGAAUCUUCCCACUACUUAAGUCGAACUAUUUUAUCAACAGAUCCAUCUAUUACUCUCACUCUAUCUCAAAACUAUUACAGAUAAUUUUAUCUUCAAAUUAUGAGGACCCAAACCCCCCCACACACGGGAGGGACACCGUCAGGGCGGGGCAGCUAUGGGAUGCCCUAGGUCUAUCUAAUCUCCAUAGGGCCUCGUGGAUCGCUACCCUCCAACACGAAGAAAGAACAAAGAAUGAGGUAGAAAAGGAACAAGGGAGAAAGAAAAGGUAAAGUUAAAAGUGAUAGGUGGAUUGAUCGAUUGUGUGUUGUUCAAUCGGCCGUCACCUCUCAUCUAUAUAUGACGUGGCUGGACUUCACAUAUAGGAAAGGACUCAAAUCUCAUCUAAAAGGUCAAUUUUAACCCUAACUCACAUUGGUAGGACUGGAAAUUCCGGGCUCAGCGUGUAUAAAGUAGCCCCGUUGUGCCAAUUUUGCAGCUCACAUAUGAUGCUGGAUCGAGAUAGUCCAAAAAGCAAACUUGCGUUGUAUUGAAAAGACGAAGAGUUCUUAUGUUGAGAACUGUUCCAUCUGAGGUCGUCUUGAGGAUGCAUUUGGUCCCGCAAAUCUGUAAAAAUAUUGGAAACCCUAUUUUCUGCACGCACUGGGUGCAAUGUCUCUGUUUACCUCGAAACCUCCUAGAAGUUCUGCCCGAAACUUCCAAACUCAAUAUGUACAAAGUAGCUUCCUCAGAUGACUCGUUCACGUUGCAUAUGACUUGGAUGAAGAUGGUCCCAAAAGAACAUUUGGUCAACUCGACGAGAGGAACAAUUUUCCCGUUGUACACUUUUCAUUCUGAGGUCAUCUUUGGGGUGAAUUGGGGCGUGCACAAUAGUAAACAAUGUUGUACCUCUAGUUUUUAGCACACACUAUUUUGGCCCUUAAGGUUGCAUACAACCUUGGAUGGAGAUUACCCAAAUAUCAAAGUUCCCCAUUGUGACGGUACGACGAUUUUUCACGUUGAAAUCUUUUUUCCUUUGAGGUCAUCAAAAUUAUCUUUUCUGUCAUGCCAAAAACUGGUGCCAACACACGCUCCCUAUUUUUUGGCAAAGAUUGUGUGCCGAAAAAUAACUUUCACAAAGUUUGUUCUAAGAACUAUCUCAACACUCGAUUAGUCAUUUUGCAUGUGCUUAGGGUGAUAAGUAUAUAUCGGCCAUUUCUACUCUUAGGGCGAUAAUCAUGUAUCAUCCAUUUAAAUUAGCAACAAAUGUGCAGCUAAUCGAAUGUAUAGUGAUUUGCUCUCGUGAUGUAUGAAAUUAUAUUGCUUCCAUGCAUAUAAAUAAGCCACAGAGAGUAACUAAUAAUACUUGAAGAUGAAUUCCAUGUCAUAGGCAUCAAUGACAUAGUUGAAUAAUAUGGCUGAUGUGUGAACCAAAGAUUUCGAUGUGUGGAUGCAAACCUUCGGCUUAGUUAUUCAUAGUUUCCACUCUUUUCUUUCUUCACAUUUGCCACACUUUUUGCAGUUAAUACGUCUCCAACGUAUCUAUAAUUUUUCAUUGUUCCAUGCUAUUAUAUUAUCAAUUUUGGAUGUUUUAUAUACAUUUACAAGCAACUUUAUAUCAUUUUUUAGGACUAACCUAUUAACUUAGUGCCCAGUGCAUGUUGAUGUUUUUUGCUUGUUUUUGACUUUGCAGAAUAUCAGUACCAAACGAAUUCCAAAUGCCACGAAACUUUUUGGAGAUUUUUUACUGGCAAUAAGAGACCCUGGAAGCUUCGGGAGGGAAAGAGAAGAUGAAGAAGUGGCCCACUAGGCACCAGGGCACGCCAGGGCCUCUGGUGCGCCCUGGUACCUAGUGGGCCCACAAGCCUCUGUUUGAGCUAACUCCGCCUCUAUAAAUACUCUAAAAUCAGAAAACCUACCAGGGAGUCCACGAAAUACUUUUUCCACCGCCGCAAGUUUCAGAACCACGAGAUCUCAUCUAGAGGCCUUUUCCGGCACUCUGCCGGAGGGGGAAACGAUCAUAGAGGGGUUCUUCAUCAUGCUUGCCACCCCUCUGAUGAUGCGUGAGUAGUUUACCAUGGACCUAUGGGUCCAUAGUUAGUAUCUAGAUGGCUUCUUCUCUUUUUUGAUCUAAAAUACAAUGUUCUCCGUGUUCUUGGAGAUCUAUUUAAUGUAAUGACUUUUUGCGGUAUGGUUGUUGGGAUCCGAAGAAUUGUGAGCUUAUGAUCACAUCUAUCCAUGACUAUUAUUUGAGUUUCCUCAGAACUCUUUUAUGCAUGAUUGUUAUAGCCUUGUAUUUCUUCUUUGAUUUAUUGGUUUGGUUUGACAAACUAGAUUGGUUUUUCUUAUCAUGGGAAGAGGUGCUUUGUGAUGGGUUUGAUCUUGCGGUUCUCAAUCUCAGUGACACAAAGGGACAUGACACGCAUGUAUCGUUGAUAUUAAGGGUAAUAAGAUGAGAUUUAUUUCAUGCGUGAGUUUAUCUUGUCUACAUCAUGUUAUCUUGCUUAAGAUGUUACUUCAUUUUUCCAUGAACUUAAUACACUAGAUACAUGCUGGAUAGCGGUCGACCUGUAGAGUAAUAGUAGUAGAUGCAGGCGUGAUGCUUAUAUGCAUGAUCAUUGCCUUGGAUAUCGUCAUAAUUAUUUGCUUUUCUGUCAAUUGACCAACAGUAAUUUGUCUACCCACCUGAUGCUAUUUUUAUGAGAGAGGCCUCUAGUGAAAACUAUGGGCCCCGGGUCUAUUUUCUAUCAUAUAUUAAAACAAAAAAACCUUGCUAUAAUUUUAUUUUAUUUAUUUUAUUUUGUAUUUUUGUCAGAUCUAUCUAUCAAAACCUAUACAAUUUAAUUUUACUCAUAACCGUUGAGGGAUUGUCAACGCUCUACGCGUUGGGUUGCAAGUAUUUGUAAUUUGUGUGCAGGUGUUUUUUUACAUAAUAUUGCUUUGUUCUCUUACUAGAUUGAUAACCUUGAUUUCAUAACUAAGGGAAAUACUUAUCUCUACUGUACUGCAUCAUGCUCUCCUCUUUGAGGAAAUCCCAACGCGGCUCACAAGUAGCAGCAAUAAAAGCUUGCACAUCAUUCUUGUUUUGAGUACUUCCUUUGGGAACCCAUGCCAUGUUCCUCCUUUUCAACUCUUGUGCACUCAAAUUUUGCAAAUUCUUAUUUUUCCAAAUUGAUAAAACAAAUGGGCGCCUCGGUUGUGAUUCUGUUUUAAGUAAUGGCAUGUUUUUGACCUUGUGCACUCUCAACUUCUUCUCUUCAGAUUUGACACUUGAUUGACCCGUCUUGUUGCUUUUACCCUUUAGUAGCCAAUGCCAAUACCUUAAUUGAUUCUUUAUCAUUUGAAUUCAAAUAUGAAAUGGCACACUUACGACGACCAUCUUGGUGAGCCUAGAUUAAUGGCAAGAUCUUUCCAAAUUCUGAUGGCUCUUGGAGUACAGUUAAGAGCGGAAGACGCGCUUGAUGUUCCAAGGGGUGACUGAUGCACGAGCAAUUGUUAUUCAAGAGUGAUGUGUUUAUGUUGCAUGUUGGCCUUGGAGUUAAGCAUGUCUUAGAAUGGAAGGCAACCAUAGAUCUCGACCUUGUUUACGACCUUGUCGCCUCAAAUUAAGUUAGUGUUGUAGAAAAACUAACAUUUCAUUGAGAACCUCGAGCUCCUGUGUCGCUCUCUUUGUGUGACCACAGAACCCUAACCUUACCACCGAUAAGGGAUCCCUUCCCCUUGCGGUCCUUCUGGCCACCAUUGUCUUCGAUCGUUAUUGUGGUGGUAAUGAGCCCUGCUUCCAAAUGAAGGCAAGAGCUCCGAGUGUCUCGUGCACAAAAUUCAAGGGAUGUGGUGGCAUAGUCUCACAUGGAAGUUUUGCUCCGGCCAUGUGGGCAACAAAACUCCCGCUAAGACAAGCACGAGUGCUCUCAACUAAGGGUCCAACCGGUGUGCCAAGGUCUACGCGGGAUGGGUAUCAACCAAUGGCGCGUGGGAAUGGUUGACCUAGACUCCCAAGUGCUUGUAUAAUACUCUCUCCGUACCAAAAUAUAGUGUGUAUUAGAUUUUCUAAAGUGAAACUUAAGUUUAUAGAAAGGAUUAUCAACAUCCAACUACCAAAUCGAUACCAUUAGAUUCAUCAUGAAAUCUAUUUUCACAUAGUAUAUAGUGCCUCCUUUCGGAAAUACUUGUCGGAGACAUGGAUGUAUAUAGAUGUAUUUUAGUACUAGAUUUUUCGACAAAUAUUUUCAUAUACGUAUAAAUUUGGUUAAAGUUUGUGAAGUUUGACUUUUGUGAAAACCAAUAUAUACUAUGAGAUGGGAGGGGCAUUUUCAAGUAUCAUGUAUUCACAUGUACUUCUUGUUACCCUAAAAUCCAAAAGAAAAAACAAACUCGUUGGCGAAGGUUAAACUUUAUCAACAGACAAAAAUUUAGACCUUACCAAAAUAUCAAACUCUGAAAGAUCGAAAAAUAUUCUUUCAGAGUUCAAUCUAUUAAAAUUCACUUAGUUGUAGCCGAUCGUCAUUGAAUUUAUUAUGAAAUCUAUUUUCGUAUGUUAUAUACUAAGUUAAAGUUUGUGAGUGUUUGCCUUUUGUGAAACCAAUGUGCAUUGUAAUAUGAGAACGGAGGAAGUAAAGUUUUCGCAUACCAUGUAUUCAUUUGUAUUUUUUGCUACCCUAAAAUCCAGAAGAAAAAUCGAGCUCACUGGUCAUUCCGAAGGUUUAAACAUUAGUGACAGACAAAAAUGUAGACCUUACCAAAAUAUCCGAAUUCCGAAAGUAUGAAAAAAUUCUUUUGAAGUUCGAUCUAUUAAAUUCACUUAGUUUUCAUGGAUCUUCGCUGAAUUUGAAUUUGAUUUGAUUCCGUCCCAAAAUUUCGAGCUUACAAACAUUUUGGUACCCACCAAACUUUCAGAGACUUGGUCAAAAUUUCGUUUGAACUUUUGGUCCCUUCGUGCGAAAGAUCAACCCCACACCGGCGCACCGCCUCGGUAUUAGAGUCGCAUGUCCCUUCUUCCUCCGCCGCCGUGCCAGCUAGCUAGGGUUACGGCCACCGGCGCUCCGUGAGGGGCAGGGGUGGUGGAGGCGGCGACGCACGCGCAUGGCCGGAGGCGACGCGUCAUCGGGGGCUGCGCCGGGGCCGGAGACGGCGAGGGAGGCGGAGGUGGACGCGGGGGGCUUCGAGUUCGCCUUCGACAACGAGGCCUUCUCCGACAGGGUCCUGCGGAUAGAGGUCGUCGGCGCUGGCCGGAAGCGCCGCCGUGAAGGUGCGUACGUACAGUCACAGUAGUACCAUUAGCCAUUAGAAUAUUCGCAGUAGAUUCGUCUAGGCACCACACUGAUCUAAGCACCUGCCUGCAUCAUAUCGUUAUAUGCGCCUUCCUUUCGCUGUGCAAUUUCUCCCUCGUGAAUGUUAAUUUAUCUUCUUUCACGCCAUUACGAUCUGGAUUUGUGUUGGAUUUUCUCUUUUCUGCCUUAUAUGGGCAAGGAGGUACACUGUUAUCCUACCUUAAUACACCCGAUAAGGUCUUUAGUUUUGGAUCUCGAGCCGUUCCAAGUUCUCUGGUAUAUGUUUUUUCAUGAUUACAUGAGCUGGUGUCACCCUUGAUAUAUGUAGCGUGGAGGUGUGAAGGGAGGACCUCCCUAAGUCACUAGAACUCUUGGUAAUUCUGCUUACUGUUCCAAAUUUUAGAUCAUCGCGCCGCCCCGCUCGGGCGACUCGGGCGGCGAACCCUAGUCGCGCCGCCGGCUGCCCCUCUUCGUCUAUCCUUUCUCGCCAGCGCUUGAUGCAGUUGCCGGGCAAGCCAUAGGCGCUGCCAAGGAUGGUGGCGGUGGGGUCUUCUGCCGCCCUGGAUCCGCGCGGGGGCUCUGGAUCUACAGCAGCAGCUCCUAUGGCGAGGCACUGUCGGCUCUGCGGUGAGCGGUGGUGGAUCCGGUGUCCUGGCCGCGCGGACGACGGGACCCCGGAGGUCGAGGGCGGUCGGUAGCGGCUCCUGCAGCGGACGGUCCGCGAGAUCUCGCGCUCCCCUCCUCCAGUGUUCAGCAUGCGUGCGCACUUCCUGGUCAGGUCGUGCUUCUCUGGUCGUUGGCCCCGGGCAGGAGGUGCUGGUGGUGGUGGGGACUAAGUUCGGGCGAAAUCCCUGGCUAGCCGUGGCUGGCCAGGUCGACGGCGAUGCCCGGGGCGCCAUUCCCCUCCUUGGAGGCGUCGGUAUGGACUGAUCCCCUCAAUCCCCCUCCCCCUAGGUCUCCUGGGCGAAAGCCCUAACUUUGGGGCGGUGGCGGCGCUCUCAGCGCCAUUCCCUUCUUGAAGGCGCCGCUUUUGGGAACCUUGUGGUCAGGUGGCGCUUGUGGGUGGUUGGUGGUGGCGGCGGUGGUGUGGCCCUCUUAUCCCAGCUUGAAACUUCCCCCCUCUGGUGUUAGAUGUGUGCAGCGGCGGUGUUCUGCUCAAGGAGAGUCUCCGACGUCUCGUUGGGGAUGCAUUGACCCUCUCUACAUGGUCAUCUUCCGGCGGCAUCCAUGCCAUCUUGCAACGUCCGGCGCCUUCGAUCCAGGCGAGGAGGUAAUGGCCUCCUUCGAAGAUGGUGUACUGGAGGUGUCGUGCCAGGGCUCGUAGGUGCAUGGCGAUGGCAUGCCCCAUUGGUGUCGGCCCCUCUCUCCUACGAGCUAGUGUGAUCCUGUGCCUAGUACAACAUUCUCGGAGGUGGGCCUCGGCGUCUUCGGCUUCGGUCUCAUUUGAUCAUCUUCAGUUUCUGUAGUGUGUGAGGCUUAAGCCCAGUUCUUUUGGCCGAUUCUCCCAGAAUCUUGAGAAUCGGACCUCCCCCUAGCUUCUCCCAAAAUCUUGAACACAUAUAUUUUUUACAAUCCUAGCUAGUUGGUAUGUAAACAAGUAGUAUUGUCAAAAAAAAUAGGUUGUGAGAAUUUGGGUGAAGAUUUGAUUCUCAAGAUUCUGGGAGAAUCGGCCAAAAGAACUGGGCCUUAGUUUUGUGUUGUCCAUCGGCUUUUGUAUCCCUCUGUCGUGUUGUUCUUUCUUUUGCCUAAGGACAUGUGCUUGUAAUCCUGGCCGGUUGAUGGCUUUGUUAAUUCAAUGUCGGGCUAGGCUCGACCCCCAUCUCAGGCUCGGUUGAUGCCUUUUCUCUAAAAAAAAUUGAGAUCAUCAUUAGUUUGUGUUCUGUUUCUGGUUCACCUCUACUUCUCUUUUGUUGUUGUUGAAACAUCUAAUGUCAAAAUUAGCCUUUUGACAAUCACUUUUAAUUAGUACCAAGUACGAACACAUGUGGACUGUAGUACAGACUGUUGGUAAUGUAAUGGUACAAUCCAUUGAUGAACUUAGCUGCCUAUUAGUAAAUACAAGCAACAUACUGUUUACCGGGCAUAUAAUUGUGGCCUGAUCUUUUACCUUUGUUAAUAGUGUUCAUUUAUAGAAAAUUCUAAUAGAAUCCUUGGGGUAACAUUCAUUAUUAAUGUAGCAUGCUUAUUAGGCUUGAUGCAACUCAGUGAAUAUCCAGUUUUCAUGAUGCUUAAAAUUUUCCCGCCUAUCUGAAGGUUGAUUCAAUGAAUCUGCACACACAGCGAACAUGAUAUUCCAGAUAUUUUUAACAGCAAAAAUCUUGUCUAGUAGUUAUCUUAUGUGCCUUCUUCUCCCCUAGUUUUGAAUGUUUCUCUAGAUUCAUCUGACCUGUAUUUCGCAGGUGAUGAUGGAGAAGGUAGUACACCAGUUUUACGAGUCAAGACCAUACAUAUCAGUUCGGUGAUUCUCGCCGCAAAAAGUUCUUUCUUUUUCAAGGUAAUUAUGAUGAUCUUCUGAAAUGCAUUUGGUCUAUAAUCAGUUGACUUGUAUUUCUGAUAAGCUUCAUGCUUCUUAGCUUUUCUCAAAUGGCAUGAAAGAAUCUGGUCAGAGACAGUCAACAGUUAGAAUUGCUGAUUCAGGUAACUCAAGUGUAUGAUGUACUCUUCCUCGUCUUAUUAUAACUGAGAUUCUAGUUUGCUAUUGUGAUUGUAUUAUUUAUUUGUUAAUUCAAGAAAUGUGAUAAUUGUAGAGAGGCCUGUUUUGGAGUUUCGUGCCACAACUUUCUAUUUUGAUAAUGAACUGGCUAUUCUCAUUUCCCCUACAUAAUUUGUCUACCAAAUGGAUAUUCUUGUGCAUGACAAGUUUCCUCAAUUGAUUAUUGGAACUCAAUGGACUUUCGGUUUAGAUAGUGACUGAGAUUAAAGCGUACCCUUCAGUUGCAAAGGGUAUUAUAGUCUUACUUUUAUAUGGGCCUCUUCUAGUCAUCAAGGACUUAAUUUUAACGUGUAUGAGCUUGCCAAUUCUCCCGCCACAACACGAAAGAGGAGAAAGAGACGGAAUAGAAAGCUUUCUCCUCUAAUUAAGGAUUCUUCUCUAUUUAAGGAUUCUUAUUCAUCUGCAUCAUUUCACUACAUCUACAUUGGUGUACAAAAUCGUCUCUAAAUAAUAUGAAAAUAUAUUAUGUAACAUUGGUGUAUAAAAUAAUCGUCUCUAAGAAGUAUGAAUAUAUACGAGUACAAUAUGGUCCUAUUUCUGGCCAAUAAACAUACAGAGGAGAGACCAGCCGAUUGUGCAAACUAAGUAUAUACAGAGUAGCUCACCGUUCAUAUAAAAAUAGAGUACGUAGCUCUUUAUAGGAAGGAUGCUGUGGAGAUCUUAACUUCUAGGGAUUAAUUCGUUUCAUGCACGAGGGAUUUAGCCGUGAAGGCCCGGCACAUUAAAAUUAGGAAUUAAAUUGUUUACCCAAGUCCAAGGUUUUGGAUCCCAAGCGGUCCAUUUUUCUCGAGGGGCACCGAAAUUCACGGUUACCACGGUAACCACGAAAUACCGGAAAAAAAUCGGGCGAAAUUUUAAAUCAAAUUUUGAAUUCAAAUAAUUCGAAUUUGAUAUAGAUAGUAUUUUAACUCUCCAAGAUCAGUAAUUCUCCCCUGGCGUAGUGGCUGUUCAGACGCACAAACCACUGCCGCGAUCUUUCAGGUUUCGAGUUCGAUUCCUGGCCGCUGCUUGAAUUUUUCUUUUAGCUUUUUUCUUUUGCAAUCUUUAAAAAAGAAAGAAAACGCGCGGUUCAAGACUCGAACCCACGACUGGCAGCUCCAGAGACCAUGCCUUUGCCACUACGCCACCACCCGGGUCUGUUGCUACAUCAGAGAUGCCCCCUAUUUAACUGGAUCAGAGUUUGAAUUCAAAAUUUUCGAAAAAACUCGAAUUUUUUUGCUCGGUAUGAGUGUUUUUCGUGGGGUAGCGGUAAACGCGGUAACCGCUCGGGAUCACGAAAUUUCGAGCGGUACCCAAAACAGUGCCCAAGUCUAAGGAAUCAAAUUUCUAAUAAUUCGCUAGACCCCAAAUACCCUUUCCAUAGUUUUCAAGGGGGGUGCCAGGGGGAAAGGUUAACUUUACUGAAACAUGCCUCUAAAACAAUAGCUAUCCCUUUCCUUUUGUACUCCUUUACUUAACUGUUACUGAUUGUGAUAAAUUGGACUGUUCUUAUGCUUCCUUGCUUUCAUUCCUUACUUGGAACAGAGGAAAAUGCCUUUAUGGAGCUUUUAUGGUUUAUGUACAAUGGAAGGUUGACACCAACAACUGACUCCACUCUUCUGGUUGAUAUCUUGAUGGCUGCUGACAAAUUUGAUGUCGUUUCAUGCACCAAGCUUUGCGGUCAGCGGCUCAUAGGCCUGCCUAUGACCCUAGAAUCCGCACUGAGGUGCCUAGAUCUCCCAUGUUCCAUUUCAAUGGCAGCUGACCUGUCAGAGGCAGCCAAGAAAUUCCUUGCUAAAAGAUAUGAAAAAUUCCUGUCAACAAAGUAAGUAAUCCCCAUCGGAUCGUGAUACCUUUUUUUCCUUUAUUAAUGAACAUGUGGAUAUUGUUGUCACAAAAUCAUUAUAUCGUGGCAUUGCAUGGUUUUGUUGCAUUUCAGGUUCCAAGAUGAACUGAUGAGAAUUCCUCUCUCUGGGAUUGUGGCCAUCUUAUCAAGGAAUCUCCCCGGGGUUGCAUCCGAAAAAUCCGUUUAUGACUUUGUGCUCAGGUGGGCCGACUUGCAGUACCCAAAUUCAGAAGAAAGACGCAAGAUUUUAAGUUCAAGUUUACUUCCAAUGGUGCCACUAGCGCGUAGCAUGACCAAUGUGAUCCUAAUUGAUCAGCCGUCUUGUAUAAUUAACUUUAGUCUAAAGCGUGAGCACUGCUCUGGGAGCUUCUCAUCAGGAUCGAUGCGCUCGCCACCAUUCUAUUGUGCGGGGCAUGGUUUCUUUCUCUCAGCACACCGUAGAAUGGGGCCGUCCAACUCUUUUGUCCUCAUAAUACAGAAGCUAGAAGACAAGGGCCUAGUAAGGGGGACAUUAGAUUAUGAGAUUGAUGUAAAAACAACACCGUCGCUGGAGUUUACCACCUUGUGGAGGCGCACCACCACCACCGGUUGUAGGCAAGGUUUUGGAUGCAGGCUUCCUUGGCCGGAGGUCAUUCCUGACGAUAGCCCCUUCUUUGUCGAUGACAAACUCCAUAUUCGAGUUCAUGUGAAGAUAACGCUGCAGCCGUAGUGAUGCAUGCAUUAGCCACUAGCGUGAUGUGCUUCAUUCAUGUCCACUUUUGUUUAUGUGAGCGAGGAGAAGCCCCUGUUCUUUUAACAUAUGAACUCGGUGAACAAUGCUCUGCUCUCUUUUGGUGACUGGUAAUGUUGCAAUGUAGCUUCUGAACAUCUAGAGUUUGAUGCUCGAGGUUUCAUUGUGCCACGGACUCUUACCAGACGCAAAACUGUCAAGUUUGCGUGUGAGUUUUGAUAUCGAGCGAAGUCGCUGAACAGUUAAUGUGCACUUUGUUGUAAGUUGGCUAGUAUACAUUGCUGAAUGCUGAUGACCUCUUUGACUCGAUGGACUUGUGACCCUUAGAAUGCAUAUUAUGUGAUCAUCUGUUCAUGGCUAUCUUUCGAUAUUUUUUUAGUUCAUACUCUAUGGCAGUUGAUAUGUUGUGCCCCAAGGACAGAAUGCUGCUGUAAAUUGCCUAAAAAAUGCUGAUGUAAAGUUCAAUGUUGUCAGGUCUGUUGCUUGCAAUGUGUGCUCCCUGGAAACUAAGCCCACGAUCUACAUGCACAUAUCCGGAUCCGAUACUAUACAUAGUUUUUUUUUAGUUUUAGAUUUCGAGGUGUUAAAUAGUUGAGGUUCUUUGACAUAAUUUUUGCAGUACAACAGUAAUCAAAGAGUAUAUGUUGUCUGUGCCCCCAAUUAAAGUGCAGCAAAUCUGUAGUCACAUAUUUAUUUGGAUGUAGCAGCGGCGCCCAAACUACAUCAUACUGUUCAAGUUGAGCCUUCGGACAACUUAAAGAUUAGGAAUAAUUUGUAUGUUAUAUAGAUCUGUAGGCUGGGGAGAUUCGUACUGCUUAAGGGCAGUUAUCUAUGGUUCUUUACCGUGUGAUGCUUCAGCCUUAGUUUAAAGUAACAAGCUGAUCAAUUAUUCACAUCUUUCACAUGAAUAAUGAAUCUUGCUUGAUUGCUACGUUGAAUAUGCAAUCGUGAUCUCUUUUUGUGAUAUUCAAAGGUCCAAGACAAGCAGCAGAACAGACUUUUUUUCGAGAGUAUGUCAAUGGCGUAUCAUAUUUUUAUAGAAGGCAGAAGACAAUUGCAAGAGACUACAACUCGAAUAUGAAUGGUGCACUUUAGCGCCUGCCACUGGUAAGUGUCAUCCUUCAUAUAUUCACUGCUGGAAAACGCUUUGGGGUCACAUUAGUGAUUGGUGCACUUUAGCGCCUGCCAUUGGUAAGCACUGGCAAUCUAGCAACUUACCACCGGUGGGCGUAAAAUCAUGCCAUUUGUGGCUUCUACAAUUAAAAUACCAUGCUGUAUAAAAUGAAAAUGCCAAGCUGUACAAAAUAAAAAAUGACAUGCUUGUACAAAAAAUGCCAUGCUCUUUAUGCUAAAAAAUGUCAUGCUUCUACAAUAAAAAAUACCAUGAUCUUUAAAAUGAAAAUGCCAUGCUCUUCAUAAUAAAAAAUGUCAUGCUUGUAAAAAAUGUCAUGCUCUUCAUGUAAAAAAUGCCAUGCUUCUACAAUAAAAUUACCAUGCUUUUUAAAAUGAAAAUGCCAUGCUUCUACAAAAAAAAAA